GGGUUAGUAGAUUGGUCGUGCCAUCGGUAUGUACUGGUCUUACUGAUUCCUCCUUCCUGAUGAACCGUAAUGCCAUUAAUUUGGUGUUGCGGGGAGACUGGACUGUUACUUUGAAAAAAUUAGAGUGUUUAAAGCAGGCUAACGCUUGAAUACAUUAGCAUGGAAUAAUGAAAUAGGACGUUCGAUCCUAUUUUGUUGGUUUCUAGGAUUGACGUA
rnacentral:rRNA from 1 species